rnacentral:tRNA from 1 species
UCCUCUUAAGUUCUAAGAUAACCCUGAUUUUGUAAAUCAGAAGCAUUAAGAGGAU